UUUUAAAUGGCCGCAGUAUUUUGACUGUGCAAAGGUAGCAUAAUCAUUAGUUUUUUAAUUAAAAGCUUGUAUGAAAGGCUGGACGAGGUAAAAUCUGUCUCUAUUUAAAUUAUAAUAGAAUUUAACUUUUAAGUUAAAAGGCUUAAAUAGUAUUAAAAGACGAGAAGACCCUAUAGAUCUUUAUAAUUUAUUAAAUAAAAUUAAUUUAGAAGUAUUUAUAUUUUAUUUUAUUAAAUUAUUUUAUUGGGGUAAUAGAAAGAUUGAAUUAAUUCUUUUUUAUAAUAAACAUUAGUUUAUGAAUAUAAAUGAUCCAGUUUUAUUGAUUAUAAGAUUAAGUUACCUUAGGGAUAACAGCGUAAUUUUCUUAAAGAGUUCAUAUCGAUAAGAAAGUUUGCGACCUCGAUGUUGGAUUAAAGAUUAUUUUAGGUGUAGAAGCUUAAUAAUUUUGGUCUGUUCGACCAUUAAAUCUUUACAUGAUCUGAGUUCAGACCGGCGUAAGCCAGGUCGGUUUCUAUCUUUAAUAAAAUAAAAUAUUUUAGUACGAAAGGACCAAAUAUUUAAUAUAUUUAUAUUUAAAUUUAUUGAAUAUUA
rnacentral:rRNA from 1 species